rnacentral:rRNA from 1 species
UGAUACUAAGCCAUGCGAGUCAUUGUAGCAAUACAAGGCAUACGGCUCAGUAACGCGUAGUCAACCUAACCUAUGGACGGGAAUAACCUCGGGAAACUGAGAAUAAUGCCCGAUAGAACAUUAUGCCUGGAAUGGUUUAUGUUCCAAAUGAUUUAUCGCCGUAGGAUGGGACUGCGGCCUAUCAGUUUGUUGGUGAGGUAAUGGCCCACCAAGACUAUUACAGGUACGGGCUCUGAGAGGAGUAGCCCGGAGAUGGGUACUGAGACACGGACCCAGGCCCUAUGGGGCGCAGCAGGCGAGAAAACUUUGCAAUGUGCGAAAGCACGACAAGGUUAAUCCGAGUGGUUUCUGCUAAAGGAACCUUUUGUCAGUCCUAGAAACACUGAUGAAUAAGGGGCGGGCAAGUUCUGGUGUCAGCCGCCGCGGUAAAACCAGCACCUCAAGUGGUCAGGAUGAUUAUUGGGCCUAAAGCAUCCGUAGCCGGCUCUGUAAGUUUUCGGUUAAAUCUGUACGCUCAACGUACAGGCUGCCGGGAAUACUGCAAAGCUAGGGAGUGGGAGAGGUAGACGGUACUCGGUAGGAAGGGGUAAAAUCCUUUGAUCUAUUGAUGACCACCUGUGGCGAAGGCGGUCUACCAGAACACGUCCGACGGUGAGGGAUGAAAGCUGGGGGAGCAAACCGGAUUAGAUACCCGGGUAGUCCCAGCUGUAAACCAUGCAAACUCAGUGAUGCAUUGGCUUGUGGCCAAUGCAGUGCUGCAGGGAAGCCGUUAAGUUUGCCGCCUGGGAAGUACGUACGCAAGUAUGAAACUUAAAGGAAUUGGCGGGGGAGCACCACAAGGGGUGAAGCCUGCGGUUCAAUUGG